UCCUCCCCCCGUACGCGAACCCAGACCGGACGGCGCGACGCGGUCCCUGAGUAGGGCCGGGCACGUGAAACCCGGUCCGAACCUGGGUGGACCACCAUCCAAGCCUGAGUACUACCCUGUGACCGAUAGCGCACCAGUACCGUGAGGGAAAGGUGAAAAGCACCCCGGGAGGGGAGUGAAACAGUACCUGAAACCGUGCGCCCACGAGCAGUCGGAGCAACUUUCAGUUGUGACGGCGUGCCUUUUGUAGAAUGAGCCAGCGAGUCGCUGGCGCGGGGCGAGGUUAACCGAAAGGGAGCCGGAGCGAAAGCGAGCCUUAACAGGGCGACUUGAGUCCCGCGCCGCGGACGCGAAGCCGGGUGAGCUAUCCGUGGGCAGGCUGAAGCGGGGGUAAGACCCCGUGGAGGGCCGAACGCACGUCGGUUGAAAACGGCGGCGAUGACCUGCGGAUAGGGGUGAAAGGCCAAUCAAACCCGGAGAUAUCUCGUUCUCCCCGAAAUAGCUUUAGGGCUAGCGUCGCGCGUUCACCGCCGGAGGUAGAGCACCGGAUGGACGAGGGGGCUUCGCCGCCUACCGAAUCCAACCGAACUCCGAAUGCCGGCGGCCCAGAGCGCGGCAGUCAGAGCAUGUGGGCUAAGCUGUGUGCUCGAGAGGGAAACAGCCCGGACCGCCCGCUAAGGUCCCCAAGUUCCAGCCGAGUGGCAAAGGAUGUGCGUCCGCCCAGACAACCAGGAUGUUGGCUUAGAAGCAGCCAUCCAUUCAAAGAGUGCGUAACAGCUCACUGGUCGAGUGGACAUGCGCCGACAAUACACGGGGCUAAGCUGGACACCGAAGCGGCGGGAUUUUGAUUUACAGAAUCGGUAGGGGAGCUUCCCAUGGGCGGAGAAGCCGGAGGGCGACCGACGGUGGAGCGCAUGGGAGUGAGAAUGCUGGCAUGAGUAGCGAGAGACGAGAGAGUAACUCGUCCGCCGUGAACCCGAGGUUUCCUGGGCAAGGCUAAUCCUCCCAGGGUCAGUCGGGGGCUAAGGCGAGGCCGGUAGGCGUAGCCGACGCGCAGCAGGCAGACAUUCCUGCACCGCGCACGCGGCGCUACGACCGACGGGGCGACGGAUGGGGGUGGCUCGGCGGGGUUCUGGACGUCCCCGUGAUGGAGCGCGGCCCGCGGACCAGGGAAAUCCGGUCCGCAUCAAGGGCGAGGCUCCGGACGAAGCGACUGAGCGAAGCGAGUGAGCCCGAGGUCCCUAGAAAAACCCCUAGGCAGGCGCGUGCGCGCCCGUACCGCAAACCGACACAGGUGGGUGGGUAGAAUAUACCAAGGCGUAAGAGUGAAACCUGGUUAAGGAACUCGGCAAAUUAGCCCCGUAACUUCGGAAGAAGGGGUGCCUGCAGCGAUGCAGGCCGCAGAGAAAUGGCCCAACCGACUGUUUAUCAAAAACACAGCACUCUGCAAAGACGCAAGUCGAAGUAUAGGGUGUGACACGUGACCAAUGCCGAAAGAUUAAGGCAAGGGGUUAGCCGCAAGGCGAAGCUCUGAACCCAAGUCCCGGUGAAUGUCGGCCGUAACUAUAACGGUCCUAAGGUAGCGAAAUUCCUUGUCGGGUAAGUUCCG
rnacentral:rRNA from 1 species